UGAUUCAAGAGUCUUUUUCGCUGUACAACUUAACUGGCUUCAAAUCAAGAUUUCAAAGUCAUGCACGAGUCUUUUUCGCUUUACAACUUAACUGAAAUGGUUGGCAGAUUCAUUUCUAUGUUUUUGAAAGACCAGGACUUUGGACACGUCGACCGAGUGUUCAUAAUACGCUGUUGGAAGGACCUUGCUACUAAAUGGAUUGUUGUUGAUUACCAAAGUAAUGUUCAC